rnacentral:rRNA from 1 species
UGGGGAAUUUUGGACAAUGGGCGAAAGCCUGAUCCAGCAAUGCCGCGUGUGUGAAGAAGGCCUUCGGGUUGUAAAGCACUUUUGUCCGGAAAGAAAUCCUUGGCUCUAAUACAGUCGGGGGAUGACGGUACCGGAAGAAUAAGCACCGGCUAACUACGUGCCAGCAGCCGCGGUAAUACGUAGGGUGCAAGCGUUAAUCGGAAUUACUGGGCGUAAAGCGUGCGCAGGCGGUUUGCUAAGACCGAUGUGAAAUCCCCGGGCUCAACCUGGGAACUGCAUUGGUGACUGGCAGGCUAGAGUAUGGCAGAGGGGGGUAGAAUUCCACGUGUAGCAGUGAAAUGCGUAGAGAUGUGGAGGAAUACCGAUGGCGAAGGCAGCCCCCUGGGCCAAGUACUGACGCUCAUGCACGAAAGCGUGGGGAGCAAACAGGAUUAGAUACCCCUGGUAGUCCACGCCCUAAACGAUGUCAACUAGUUGUUGGGGAUUCAUUUCCUUAGUAACGUAGCUAACGCGUGAAGUUGACCGCCUGGGGAGUACGGUCGCAAGAUUAAAACUCAAAGGAAUUGAC